AUGGUGGGGCUGUGGCUGCUGGUGGUGGCCCUCACGUGCUGCUGGUGGACACAGGGCAGCCAGGGUAAGACCCUGUGGGGCAGCUUCAGCAGCACAGUGGCCCAAGAUGCUCAGGGCCAGCGCAUAGGCCAGUUCAAGUUCCAUGGUGACCAUGCUCUUCUGUGUGUCAAAAUCAACAACAUAGCCAUAGCUGUUGAAAAAGAAGCUAAACUCUACCUGUUCUAAGCUCAGGAAUGGCUAAAGCCACAGGAAAGCAGUCAUGGUUAUAGCUGUAGUAAAAAAUCAUCCAAAGCUCAAUUGACAAUGACCAUGAACCAGACUGAACAUAAUCUGACAGUGUCCCAGAUUCCAUCUCCACAAACAUGGCAUGUGUUUUAUGCAGACAAGUAUACAUGCCAAGAUGACAAGGAUGGUACAUCAGUUGGAUGAUGUCCCAUUUGAAAUGGUGUUACUAAACCCAGAUGAUCAUUUUAGUGCUGGAGAAUCCUGGUUACAUGAAUUCUUCUUCCUCCUAGUCCUAGUGUACUUUGUGAUUGCUUGCAUUUGUGCUGCAUUGUGGCAGGCUAUUAAGAAAGGAGGACCUAUGCACAUGAUUUUAAAGGUUCUGGCAACUGCAUUGCUGUUCCAGCUUGUUCAGCUUUAGCUAAUUACAUUCAUUUCUUCAGUUACUCCAAAGAUGGAAUAUGGGUACCAUUUAUGGGAAGUUUGGCAGAAUUUUUUGACAUCGCUUCCCAAAUUCAGAUGUCAUACCUACUUUUGAGUCUAUGCAUGGGUUGGAUAAUAGAAUGAAGAAGUCUCAAAGCAGACCUCUCCAGUGGGAUUCUACCCCUGCAUCCACCAGCAUUGCAGUAUUCACUGUCAUGACACAGAGUAUUUUGCUACUUUGGGAACAGUUUGAAGAUACCAGUCAUCAUAGCUACCAUUCACACCACAACUUAGCAGGGAUCCUCCUAAUCAUUCUAAGAAUUUGCCUAGCAUUGUCAUUAGGCGGUGGACUCUAUCAGAUCAUCACAGUGGAGAGAAGUAUACUCAAAAGGGAGUUCUACAUCACAGUUGCCAAAGGCUGUACCUUGUAGCUUUUAUGCCAUCCAGUUCUUGCAUGCAUUUCUGUCAUUUUUAGUAACUACCAAAGGGACAAGGUUAUAACAAUAGGUGUUAUCCUUUGUCAGUCUGUUUUCCUGGUUAUUCUCUACAGACACUUUCUAUCUCACAGAGUAUACUGGGAAGUUUCUUCACUUUCCUCAGUAACACUACCACUGAAAAUAUCAUCUGGACACAAAAGCCGCCCUCAUUUCUGAUACUUGAUUUUUGUUGAGAGGAAAAGUGAAUUGGUUAAAAGAGUGCAAUAAGGAUCCAAAUACUGUGACUUUUCUUCAUACAUUUAGUGUGAAAACUUGAACAGUGAAAGCAGAGCAUGUUAUUUAUAUAAUUGCAUUUAAUCAGUACCAAAACUGAAACAAAAG